CUCUAAGGAGGAAGCUGUGUGUGCCCUGCUUUCUGGGCCACUGAAAAACUCAGAUGGACUUGUGGAAUCUGAAAACAGAG